rnacentral:lncRNA from 1 species
AGAGUGCAACCGGGUCCUGGUUUUGGACGGCCUACAUAUCUCAGGUUAUAAGGGAACCAGGUCGCGUGUAGUUCAAGGAAAAUGAUGGAAUGCUGAGUUGGAUAGUCGAGUGAGGUUCCGUUGAGGCUCCGGCCUGUAGUCGUAUUUUUACAUCAAAAUCAAAAGAGAAUAAACGAGCCUAUCAUCUAUGAGUUACAAGAUUCAUAUCUUUAAGUAUUCUAAAACUUGAUCUUGAGUCUUGACUGGUUAUUCACGCAGACUCUGAUCUGAACCUUGAUGCUUGCUCGCUGCAGGUGCCAGUUUAUUAUUCUACGGCCUCUUCUGAUGAAAACGGAAAAUGCAAUGCUCGUGACUUCAGUCAUGUGUUGAGUAGUUCACAUCUUUUCAUCCGUUUCUGCAUUCUGGAUUCACUUCUUUUUGUUUUCUUUCCUUUAUUUUGGAUUGAGACUUCUUUUAUUGGUCACCUCGAACUCGUGCAUCGAGGUAAAAUCUGUUUAGACACCAAAACAAACAAACGAAUGAAAUCUUUCUUCCCUAGUUUUCACUAGGAAAAUUUAGUGAGUUAUUUGUAACAAAACUCUAUACUACUUUAUUAUUGAAAGCAAUAAAAGGUCGGAAUUGGUGUACCUUGAAAAAAUAUGAUUUUUUGGGAAUGGUGUGCCAUGAUUGUCUAAAUAGUGCCUCAACUAAGGAUUAGUGUACCUUAUAUUGGGAAAAUGCGAUGGGGAAUAUUGUACCCUGAUACUGGUAAAGAGACUAAGGAGUGAAGACCCUAUGUCUAAAAAAUAAAAAUCAACUAAGGAGUGGAGACCCUAUGUCGGUAAAUACAGCUAGGGAUUGGUGUACCCUGAUACUGGUGAGGAAAAGUAACCAGGAGUUGGUACUGUCACGUCCCAAACUACCCCCUUAGAUAUGAUUGGCACCCAGCUAACACUACCCGCCAGGUGAACCAACUUAUACCAUACAUUUAGCACUUAUUCAAAAUUCAACCGAAAUAAAUAUAAAUUCCUAACAUUUCAAUAAUGAAAUGCGAAUGAUUAGUGAUCCAAAUUGUUCUAUAAAUAUUUAUGAAUAAUAGUAACCAAAAUGGAGGAACAACACUCUAGCCCAAAUCUCACACUAGACCAUGGAGCAUCUAAGAGAAUUACAAAAGGCUUAUGAUCGAGUGUGUCAACCCCAAAAUAAAAGACAUCGUAUAAAUAAAUGAUAAGGACUCUCUUGGCAGCCUCCACGAACUAUGCGGUGGCUCACCUAAAUAACCAGAUCAACUAGCGAACUCGUCAGCUACAAGCUCCGUCGUCACGAAUAGUAUCUGAAUUGACAUGCAAGUAAGGAGUGAGUUACAUAUAAAUAUAACCCAGUAAGAUCCUCGACCCUCCACUCUGAAUACCUCUGGAACAAGUAUUAAAAAAUACAAAUACACCCAACAAGAACGCUCUAAUAAAUACGAUAAUUAUACAAUAACGCAAUACAUAUUUAUCAACAGAGUUAAUGAGAAUUAACCAACAAGAGUACACAUAUCUUAACACAGUAUACACUAAGGGCUUGUCAUGACUGCAGUGAAAGAAAUUAAACAACACUUUUACGAGUCCACAAUGGCACCACAAUGCCUCAAAUAUGUAAUCGAGCAUACACAAUGCUCACUGAAGCAUACACAAUGCCCCAAAUAUAUCAAGAAGCAUACACAAUGCUCGGGUGAUGUAUAAAGGCAUACACAAUGCCCCAAUAUCAUGGCGCACAGUCGUAUCGAACUCAACAUCAUGGCGCACGGCCGUAUCGAACUCAACACCAUGGCUCACAGCUGAAUCAAACUAUCAAACUCAACCUCAUGGCGCACAACCGUAUCAACUAUAAAAUAACUUAUAAAAUAAUAUUUUUUUCAUAAAAUAAUAUAUUUGCGACUAGUCUAAGACCACCGAUUCUCCCAAGCGCACGCUUGUCCUAACACAUGGACCGGGCAGAGAAAAUAUAUUUUUAAAACGGAUUUUAGAAAAGCAAGUAUCAAAACUUAAAGUCUCACUUACCUCGCUAAUAGGAAGUUCCCCAACCUUGCAACGUCUAAGACACCAACCAAACUUACUCCAAUUAUCUCAAUCAAUCCAAAAUAUUGAAUAAUUCAGGACAAAUCAAAAUCAAAGUCAAUCCUCGGUCCAAUUAAAAAAAAUUUGUACACAAAUAAAUACCAUGCGAUGCACUAUACAGUGAACUAAAAUGCCGAAAUAGAGGUGGUUCCAGAAGCCAUCACGUUGGCUUUUUCUCGGAAGUUCAAAUACACAUAGUAAUCAUGGCAUGAUACUUUUAUCUCCAAACUAAAGAACUGGAACAGUAUAUUAAUGGAAAAAAUUCCAAUUCUUGAAUUCCAUCAUUAUAUAGUUAUUAUUCUAAUUGGGUAAAAACUUUCUGCAAAUUUAUAACUAUUUCCUUCCAAUAGAUUCCUUCUUCUUUUUACUAUCCACUCAUUAGCUAAUACUGAGUCUCCAAAUUUCAAAGCCGAAAAGUACAAUUAAUAUAAUUUCCAUAGCAAGGUUUUAAUUGCAGACUCUUUAUUAUAUGCAAUCAUGACAUCAUGAUUAAUUUUCUAUUUCAUUCUUAAGCACAUCUCCGUUAUAAUGAUUGUCCCAACCAUCAUCAUCAAGAUUAUCUAAUUCCAUGAAUACUACUGUAUGUAAAUAUUAAAAAUAGACAUACCUUACAAUUGGUCUUUUCCCUACAAUGAUCCUCGCGCCUUAUAAUUUGAAGAAUGACACAGUAGUCACGACUUCUAAUGUACUCACACCGACACAGUGUUUUUGUCUUCUAAUAUUCU